rnacentral:misc_RNA from 1 species
GAUAAAGCGGAAAAAAUCUUGGAUCCAAGUCUUCUUCAGGAAAUGAAAGAAGAGACAAGCAGUAAUGAUCUCCAUGUAGUUCAAGAGUGCCUGAUUUUAAUCCUUGAAAUAGGGGUAGCUUGCUCUGCUGAAUUACCCAGUGAACGGAUGAACAUUACUGAUGUCACUGCUAAGCUGCAGACGAUCAAAAGGAGACUCUCUUU